rnacentral:rRNA from 1 species
UACGUAGGGGGCAAGCGUUGUCCGGAAUCAUUGGGCGUAAAGCGCGCGCAGGCGGUCACGCAGGUCAUCUGUGAAAGCACUCGGCUCAACCGGGAUGUUGCGGGUGAAACCGCGUGACUGGAGGGUGGGAGAGGUCGGUGGAAUUCCCGGUGUAGUGGUGAAAUGCGUAGAGAUCGGGAGGAACACCCGUAGCGAAGGCGGGCGACUGGACCACACCUGACGCUGAGGCGCGAAGGCCAGGGGAGCGAACGGG